UACGUAGGGUGCAAGCGUUAAUCGGAAUUACUGGGCGUAAAGCGUGCGCAGGCGGUGAUGUAAGACAGAUGUGAAAUCCCCGGGCUCAACCUGGGAACUGCAUUUGUGACUGCAUCGCUAGAGUACGGCAGAGGGGGAUGGAAUUCCGCGUGUAGCAGUGAAAUGCGUAGAUAUCGAGAGGAACACCAGUGGCGAAGGCGAGUCCCUGGACAACACCUGACACUGAGGCACGAAAGCCGGGGGAGCAAACAGG
rnacentral:rRNA from 1 species